CGCUUCCAGCGCUGGAUGCUCAGCCUUGAUGGCCAAAUCAUUUGCAAAGGGAUCCAGUCCACCUUUGUGAUAGGGCUGGCGUCUUUUCCCCCCCCUGUUUUUACAUCUUUAACCUACAGUACCAAGAGGAGGCAGCUUGCACGAUUGAAUUCAUCCAGAGACGCUUUGUGGGUUUAAACCCAGAAAAAGGGACAAAGGCUGCAAAGGGGAAAAAAAAGAAGAACUUUGUCAAUUCACACGUCGCCAGCCACGUCUUGCUCAAGCUCAUGGACUUUCAGUGGGAUUUCAUUUGAAAAUGACCCAAGACUUUGCAAAGGAUCCUCAUUGUGUGCUUUGAGAAAAUGGUUAGUGGUCUAAGCAGUGACAGAGUUUUUAUUGUUUAUUGCUCUUUAUUGAUGAAGAGUUC